rnacentral:rRNA from 1 species
AUUGAAUGCUGGCGGCAGGCCUAACACAUGCAAGUCGAACGAGAGGCGGACGGGUGAGUAAUGUCUGGGAAACUGCCUGAUGGAGGGGGAUAACUACUGGAAACGGUAGCUAAUACCGCAUACCAUCGGAUGUGCCCAUAUGGGAUGAGCUAGUAGGUGGGGUAAAGGCUAACCUAGGCGACGAUCCCUAGCUGGGCUGAGAGGAGGACCAGCCACACUGGGACGGAGACACGGUCCAGACUCCUACGGGAGGCAGCAGUGGGGAAUAUUGCACAAUGGGCGCAAGCCUGAUGCAGCCAGGCCGCGUGUAUGAAGAAGGCCUGCGGGUUGUAAAGUACUUUCAGCGGGGAGGCGUUACCCGCAGAAGAAGCACCGGCUAACUCCGUGCCAGCAGCCGCGGUAAUUC